CGGGGCAGACACUCUAAAAUAUCUGCUUCCAUCUCUAAGUAUAUAUCAUGUUAAGAUAAUUUAACAAUAUAUAAGUAUUAUAAUUAUGUUAAAAUAUAUUGCUCAAAUAUAUAUUUUAAAUGUAAUGAGCUUUAACAUAUUUUAAAAAAUAUAUUGUUAAAAUAAUUUAAUGAUUAUAUUAAAAUAAACAUGUUGUAAAAAGUAUCAUGUAAAAUAUAUUUUAAAUAGUAUGAACCUAUCAAUAAAUUAUUUUAAAUAAUUUGUUCUAAAAAAAAGUCACUUGGUGUAUUUUAGACACUUUCAAAAAGACUAUGUACCCACAAUUGCACCUGUCAGUGGAAUGUUUCUUGAUGAACCAAAAAGACUAAUUUUAAAUUAUGAAAUAAAUUAGGAAAAUGUUUUCCCAAAUAAACAAGUGUAAAUCAUUUUCCUUAAUCGCUAACUUAUUUUCCACUAACCUACAAUUUAUUUUCCUUAACUUAUUUUCUUUUAAUGUUUGAAAUAGUGAAAAAUUGUGAAAAAUAUUUUUCUGCUUAUAGAAAUAUGCUCUUAUUUUGAAGUUAAAGGUUUUUGUAAAGAUGUAAUUGAUAUAUUAGCACAUGAAAGUAAAAGGGUACGCAGUUUCACAUAUAAUAAAGUAGAUGAAUUUGACACUUGGGUUGUUAUUGUGAUGGAGGUGAAAUUCUUAAUUAGCCCUGGAAAGCUGCAAUCUCCAUAGCCUUGUUGCCUGGGUAGGUGAGCGCUGGUGCGCUGUAUUUGCUGAAAAGUUUGUAGGAGGACACAAGAGAAAGCACCGCGUAGAAAGCUACUGCACCAAAUGUUAUCACUGCAGAUGUUGUGGCCUUGUAACAGAAUCCGCCGAAAGACAUACAAGCUGCACUCCAGGUGAUGGCCAUGUCUCCCUUUCUUGCCAAGUACAACACCUCCACUGACACAGCUCCGGCCGCCAGAAUCGCAUAUGUCAACACCUAAAUUUGAUUUGCUUAAUUGAUUAAUUUUCUUUCUUAAUUGUUUUAUUUUUACAACAUCUAUCUAAAAAUAACCUGGUCGAGGAAGAAGAAUGUCCAGGCCUGGGGCAUGGUGGAUGGUCGAGGCAUGGCUACAAUGAUGGCUGAGAGAAGGGAAUAUCCAGCACAUAUGCCAUUCGCAUGCACCAAGUACCUGUAUUUAUUAAUUACAAUUUAUAGAGCUUGACAAUAAUUGUAAAACAGACUCAAUUAUAUGGAAUUCAUUGGUUCAGUUUGAUGAUAAUAGGAAAAUCGAGACUUUUCAGUGUAAUUCAAUUUUUAAAAUAAAAAAUAAUGCAAUUUUUAUUCUAUUUAGUUUGGUCCCGUAAAUAAUUUAUUUAAAAAUUCAAUUUAUUAUAUUUGUAUUAAUUUUGUUCAAUUUACAAGUAUAUGUAAUUAUUAGGAAUAAGAAUUUUCUUCGGUUCAAAAAGCUGUUGAGCAAAUGAUAUUUUCUUAUACCUUCAAUUAGGAAGAGAAAGGAAAAUAAGAUCCAGUCCCUUUACAAUCUUUAAUUUCCAAAGACAGUUUACUUUUCCUUUCUUUUAUUAUUUCUACUCCCAAAUAAAAAUACUAAUAGAAUUAUCAGUUUAAACUCUUUAAGUUCAAUUGCUUGAUGUAAAUAAUAAGAAAAUAUAAAUUUCCACUAUAAAUAUUUAUAUUUAANNNNNNNNNNNNNNNNNNNNNCAUGUAUUUAUUCAAUGAAUUUAUAAUUCUAAAAUUUCUGCAAGUUAGUUAAGUUUUAAUUAAAUAAUCAAUAAUAAACAAUUGAAUUGAAUUAUAACUAAAUGUUUAUUUUUCUUUAAUAGUUUUUAUAGACAAACUAUCCGGAAAGAGAGUACCAUAGUAAAAAAAGAAAGUAGGACUAAUUUCUAUUAUAAUUUAUAAAGACCAAGUAAAAUUAAGAUAUCCCUUGAAACAAAGAUUAAAAUUAGAAGUUUACUAAGAUUGUAACUACCAAUAUCCGUCUCAAAUAUAUUUAUAACUACUUAAACCUUCAUUAAAUGAUUUGAAACCAGGUACGUACUAAAAUGUACAUAACAAGAUAAAGAUAUUUCUUUCAAGAAAUUAUAAAAAUUAUGUACCAUUAACUAGAAAAUAAAAUUUAGGCUCCAUUUGUUUCCGAAAAAUAAUUUACUCGAAAAUAACUUGCAAAAAAAUAUUUUAUAUGAAAAAUAUUUUACAGGAAAAUACAUUAUUUUCUAACGUUUGACUUUACAUAAAAUAUUCUCGAAAAAUAUUUUUUAACAUUUGAUAUAAUAUUAAAAAAUUUAAUUUUUCUUCAUAUAAUAAUUCGUUUACACCUAGUAUAUUAUAAUGAUGAUUAUAUAUUAAAGUAAAUUUAAUAAUUAGAUUUUCGAUUUAAAAUAUAUUCUCAUCGUAUAAUACUAUAAUGAAGAUUAAUUUAAUCUAAUAAUGUGAUUUAAUUUUUUUAAUUAAAUUAUUUAACAUUACAGUGUAUAUAGGAAUGGAAGUAGGAAUGGAAGCGGGGCAGACACUCUAAAAUAUCUGCUUCCAUCUCUAAGUAUAUAUCAUGUUAAGAUAAUUUAACAAUAUAUAAGUAUUAUAAUUAUGUUAAAAUAUAUUGCUCAAAUAUAUAUUUUAAAUGUAAUGAGCUUUAACAUAUUUUAAAAAAUAUAUUGUUAAAAUAAUUUAAUGAUUAUAUUAAAAUAAACAUGUUGUAAAAAGUAUCAUGUAAAAUAUAUUUUAAAUAGUAUGAACCUAUCAAUAAAUUAUUUUAAAUAAUUUGUUCUAAAAAAAAGUCACUUGGUGUAUUUUAGACACUUUCAAAAAGACUAUGUACCCACAAUUGCACCUGUCAGUGGAAUGUUUCUUGAUGAACCAAAAAGACUAAUUUUAAAUUAUGAAAUAAAUUAGGAAAAUGUUUUCCCAAAUAAACAAGUGUAAAUCAUUUUCCUUAAUCGCUAACUUAUUUUCCACUAACCUACAAUUUAUUUUCCUUAACUUAUUUUCUUUUAAUGUUUGAAAUAGUGAAAAAUUGUGAAAAAUAUUUUUCUGCUUAUAGAAAUAUGCUCUUAUUUUGAAGUUAAAGGUUUUUGUAAAGAUGUAAUUGAUAUAUUAGCACAUGAAAGUAAAAGGGUACGCAGUUUCACAUAUAAUAAAGUAGAUGAAUUUGACACUUGGGUUGUUAUUGUGAUGGAGGUGAAAUUCUUAAUUAGCCCUGGAAAGCUGCAAUCUCCAUAGCCUUGUUGCCUGGGUAGGUGAGCGCUGGUGCGCUGUAUUUGCUGAAAAGUUUGUAGGAGGACACAAGAGAAAGCACCGCGUAGAAAGCUACUGCACCAAAUGUUAUCACUGCAGAUGUUGUGGCCUUGUAACAGAAUCCGCCGAAAGACAUACAAGCUGCACUCCAGGUGAUGGCCAUGUCUCCCUUUCUUGCCAAGUACAACACCUCCACUGACACAGCUCCGGCCGCCAGAAUCGCAUAUGUCAACACCUAAAUUUGAUUUGCUUAAUUGAUUAAUUUUCUUUCUUAAUUGUUUUAUUUUUACAACAUCUA
rnacentral:lncRNA from 1 species